UACGUAGGGGGCGAGCGUUGUCCGGAAUGACUGGGCGUAAAGGGUGCGUAGGCGGCUUGGCAAGUUAGAAGUGAAAUACCUAGGGCUUAACUCAGGUGCUGCUUUUAAAACUGCUGGGCUGGAGUGCAGGAGAGGUUAAUGGAAUUCCUAGUGUAGCGGUGGAAUGCGUAGAUAUUAGGAAGAACACCAGCGGCGAAGGCGAUUCACUGGACUGUAACUGACACUGAGGCACGAAAGCGUGGGGAGCAAAUAGG
rnacentral:rRNA from 1 species